rnacentral:misc_RNA from 1 species
UCAAACUUGGUCAUUUAGAGGAAGUAAAAGUCGUAACAAGGUCUCCGUUGGUGAACCAGCGGAGGGAUCAUUACAGGGUCUGACGACUGCCCAAACCAAACCGUGAACUAUUCCGCGAACCAUAUGCUUCGGCGGGCCGCUCGCUGGGGGAGCCGCGGCCGCUUUGUCGGUGGGCCGCCGAAAGCAUGCAAAUCUAAACUCUGAGAACUGCUCUGAGAAAAAUCUUUUCCAAUGGAAUAAAUUACAACUCAUAACAAUGGAUCUCUUGGCUCUGGCAUCGAUGAAGAACGCAGC